AACGCGAAGAACCUUACCAGGGUUUGACAUGCAACUGCACCACCCGUUACGGGGUGUCCCGCAAGGGCGGUUGCACAGGUGCUGCAUGGCUGUCGUCAGCUCGUGUCGUGAGAUGUUGGGUUAAGUCCCGCAACGAGCGCAACCCUUAUCCCUAGUUGCCAUCGGGUCAAGCCGGGCACUCUAGUGAAACCGCCCAGGAUAACUGGGAGGAAGGUGGGGAUGACGUCAAGUCCUCAUGGCCUUUAUGUCCAGGGCUACACACGUGCUACAAUGGUCGGUACAAACCGUCGCAAACCCGCGAGGGGGAGCUAAUCGGAAAAAGCCGGCCUCAGUUCGGAUUGGAGUCUGCAACCCGACUCCAUGAAGCUGGAAUCGCUAGUAAUCGCGGAUCAGAACGCCGCGGUGAAUACGUUCCCGGGCCUUGUACACACCGCGUGUCU
rnacentral:rRNA from 1 species